rnacentral:rRNA from 1 species
UCGAGCGAACAGAUGAGAAGCUUGCUUCUCUGAUGUUAGCGGCGGACGGGUGAGUAACACGUGGGUAACCUACCUAUAAGACUGGGAUAACUCCGGGAAACCGGGGCUAAUACCGGAUAAUAUUUUGAACCGCAUGGUUCGAUAGUGAAAGACGGUUUCGGCUGUCACUUAUAGAUGGACCCGCGCCGUAUUAGCUAGUUGGUAAGGUAACGGCUUACCAAGGCGACGAUACGUAGCCGACCUGAGAGGGUGAUCGGCCACACUGGAACUGAGACACGGUCCAGACUCCUACGGGAGGCAGCAGUAGGGAAUCUUCCGCAAUGGGCGAAAGCCUGACGGAGCAACGCCGCGUGAGUGAUGAAGGUCUUCGGAUCGUAAAACUCUGUUGUUAGGGAAGAACAAAUUUGUUAGUAACUGAACAAGUCUUGACGGUACCUAACCAGAAAGCCACGGCUAACUACGUGCCAGCAGCCGCGGUAAUACGUAGGUGGCAAGCGUUAUCCGGAAUUAUUGGGCGUAAAGCGCGCGUAGGCGGUUUCUUAAGUCUGAUGUGAAAGCCCACGGCUCAACCGUGGAGGGUCAUUGGAAACUGGGAAACUUGAGGUGCAGAAGAGGAGAGUUGGAGUUCCAUGUGUAGCGGUGAAAUGCGCAGAGAUAUGGAGGAACACCAGUGGCGAAGGCGGCUCUCUGGUCUGUAACUGACGCUGAUGUGCGAAAGCGUGGGGAUCAAACAGGAUUAGAUACCCUGGUAGUCCACGCCGUAAACGAUGAGUGCUAAGUGUUAGGGGGUUUCCGCCCCUUAGUGCUGCAGCUAACGCAUUAAGCACUCCGCCUGGGGAGUACGACCGCAAGGUUGAAACUCAAAGGAAUUGACGGGGACCCGCACAAGCGGUGGAGCAUGUGGUUUAAUUCGAAGCAACGCGAAGAACCUUACCAAAUCUUGACAUCCUUUGACCGCUCUAGAGAUAGAGUCUUCCCCUUCGGGGGACAAAGUGACAGGUGGUGCAUGGUUGUCGUCAGCUCGUGUCGUGAGAUGUUGGGUUAAGUCCCGCAACGAGCGCAACCCUUAAGCUUAGUUGCCAUCAUUAAGUUGGGCACUCUAGGUUGACUGCCGGUGACAAACCGGAGGAAGGUGGGGAUGACGUCAAAUCAUCAUGCCCCUUAUGAUUUGGGCUACACACGUGCUACAAUGGAUAAUACAAAGGGCAGCGAAUCCGCGAGGCCAAGCAAAUCCCAUAAAAUUAUUCUCAGUUCGGAUUGUAGUCUGCAACUCGACUACAUGAAGCUGGAAUCGCUAGUAAUCGUAGAUCAGCAUGCUACGGUGAAUACGUUCCCGGGUCUUGUACACACCGCCCGUCACACCACGAGAGUUUGUAACACCCGAAGCCGGUGGAGUAACCUUUUAGGAGCUAGCCGUCGAAGGUGGGACAAAUGA